AUUGAACGCUGGCGGCAGGCCUAACACAUGCAAGUCGAGCGGCAGCGGGAAAGUAGCUUGCUACUUUUGCCGGCGAGCGGCGGACGGGUGAGUAAUGCCUGGGAGAUUGCCCAGUCGAGGGGGAUAACAGUUGGAAACGACUGCUAAUACCGCAUACGCCCUACGGGGGAAAGCAGGGGACCUUCGGGCCUUGCGCGAUUGGAUAUGCCCAGGUGGGAUUAGCUAGUUGGUGAGGUAAGGGCUCACCAAGGCGACGAUCCCUAGCUGGUCUGGGGGGAUGAUCAGCCACACUGGAACUGAGACCCGGUCCAGACUCCGACGGGAGGCAGCAGUGGGGAAUAUUGCACAAUGGGGGAAACCCUGAUGCAGCCAUGCCGCGUGUGUGAAGAAGGCCUUCGGGUUGUAAAGCACUUUCAGCGAGGAGGAAAGGUUGAUGCCUAAUACGUAUCAACUGUGACGUUACUCGCAGAAGAAGCACCGGCUAACUCCGUGCCAGCAGCCGCCGUAAGAC
rnacentral:rRNA from 1 species